UCUGGAGACAGGUGCUGCAUGGCUGUCGUCAGCUCGUGUCGUGAGAUGUUGGGUUAAGUCCCGCAACGAGCGCAACCCUUGCCUUUAGUUGCCAGCAGUUCGGCUGGGCACUCUAAAGGGACUGCCAGUGUUAAACCGGAGGAAGGUGGGGAUGACGUCAAGUCCUCAUGGCCUUUAUGACCAGGGCUACACACGUACUACAAUGGCCGAUACAAAGGGCAGCGACACUGCGAGGUGAAGCCAAUCCCGUAAAAUCGGUCUCAGUCCGGAUUGGAGUCUGCAACUCGACUCCAUGAAGUUGGAAUCGUUAGUAAUCGUGGAUCAGCAUGCCACGGUGAAUACGUUCCCGGGCCUU
rnacentral:rRNA from 1 species